GUUUCAUGAUCGUGGGAGCUGCGUAAGCAGCGGUUGUCCGUCUGUUGCGUCUGAAUCUGAUGCAAGGCCUGAGGUCAGCAGGGCUAGCACUUGUUAAGGAAAGAUGGACACGGUUUGAGAGAAAGUAAAGACAAAAUAGAACCCAUGAGAAUAAACUGAAACCUACAUCUGUCUUUAGAACACACAUUGGUCUCUAGUCACCUCCAGGGCUUCAACUUGGAUGAUGCAAGUGACCUGCAGAAAAGCGUGCGCAAUCCGUCAUGGAACCAAAUAGGAACUGAGCUCAGGACUUUACGAAACUGAAGGAAGACGUCCGCAGGAGCUACAGGAGCUGCGGGUCCAGCAGCUGACCCUCGCCAGCAAUGUGGGCCAGCAUAUCAGCAACUGCAUAUAUAAGCUGCAAAAUUAUCCCCCCCACGUUGACCUGUGUAAGAGCAUAUGCUUACUGCGUGAGUUCCACAAGGUGUUUUGUAACUCAGAAAAUCUCAGUCAGGAACUACUAAUCAAAUGCCAGUUUAUAUCCAACUCCUCAACAGAUCACCAGAACUUCACUCACAAAAGUCACCAGAGAGUUCCACGUGGACAAAGAUAAUGGACAUCUUCCUGUAUAAUCUUACAUCAACUUUCAGUGGCCUUUCACUACUGCCAACCCACAUGCUCCUUUAUCAUCAGGGGCCUUUGAUAGGCUGACCAUGUCCUUCUGGAAACUUGCCUGCUUGGCCUUUGUCGAACCACAUGUCUGACCAUCACUUCUCAGGCUGCACAGCUGACUCAUCUGCCUGGCUUUCCACGCUUAAGCCUUGCUUGUGACUGCAUACAUCCUCACACCGAGUCAGAUGGGAAGAACCAACAAUUUAUGCUGUGCAGAAAAGACCUCUAGAGAAAAGUGAUCAACAGGAAAUAACACAAUAAUUUGCCUUUGAAUUCUCAAAGUAAAAUCUAUUUAUCUUCUCCAUGUGGAACGGCCUACUCUCAGCAUCUUUGCAUUCAGCUGUGUUGAGUUGGGGAGGAGAAAACUAGCAGGAAAAUUUGUGAGCAUAUCCUUUUUCAUUAAAAUGACACAUCUUAGGAAAAUGUUCCCAAGUUCUGUGCAAUUAAUUGGACUUCCUAGGAUUUUGAGUAGGAAAUUUUGACUCCUAUAUAUUAACUUUAAGAAGUUAUGUUUUCUGCAAUAACUGGAU
rnacentral:lncRNA from 1 species